rnacentral:rRNA from 1 species
UACAUGGGGGUGCAAACGUUGCUCGGAAUUAUUGGGCGUAAAGCGCACGUAGGCGGUUCGUUAAGUCGGAUGUGAAAGCCCUCGGCUCAACUGAGGAAGUGCACCCGAAACUGGCGAGCUUGAGUACGAAAGAGGAUCGCGGAAUUCCCGGUGUAGAGGUGAAAUUCGUAGAUAUCGGGAGGAACACCGGCGGCGAAGGCGGCGAUCUGGGUCGAUACUGACGCUGAGGUGCGAAAGCGUGGGGAGCAAACAGG